rnacentral:misc_RNA from 1 species
GUAUAGGUUUAAUGACUGCGACUAGCACAAUCUUUAAAAGACAUUCUGUAACUUUAUAGUGUAUAUGAAAACAUAGCCUUUGAACGAAAAGCAAGCAGGAGAAGGACUCGCGCCCAUUCCCCCUAACCGCAUCACUGCGAGAGGUUCACUUCCUUUCAAAGACUACAAGAGGUGCACAAGAGAAGAUAAAUAGGAUGGACGAGCACUUGCACCGUGUUACCGGAUGCCAGCAUCAGAACCAAACGUAUUCAAUAAUGAUCCUUCCGCAGGUUCACCUACGGAAA